UGAGCAAGGGCCAGGCUUUCUGCAAGGACAGUGGAGAGGCUUCUUUUCCUGGUGGCCUUGAGCACUUCCAGAUGACAGCAGACCCAGGGCUCUGUGCUCUCCCCCAGGCAUGGAGCACUCAGAGAACUUCUAGACAUCAAGCAGCGCCCUGUGCGGGGGACUGAACCCCACAGCAAGGAGGAAGCAGGACUGCACCUUACAGCUGGGGUCAUUCCCGGGGACAGUGACCGGUGCAAACUCACGGCUCCUCAGACUGUGAGAAAAGAACGGGGAGAAAAGGAUGCGGACGGACGGCAAAGGGCCUGCGAGCGCUGCCUUCUUGCCCACGCUGGUGAAAUAAAUGCCCAGGCCGUGGUGAGUGCCGGGAUGGCAUCAUCCGCACAGAGAUCACGCCAGGGCUGGGAAGCAGACAGUCCAGGAGGGGGCCUGCGGGGAACCCAGCAGACAGAUGGGGCCCUGGGCAGAGCUUGCUCUGGGAGGUGGAGACCAGUGUGGGGAAGCGGCUUAGUGUUCAUUUCCCUGUCUUCCUCCCGGAGCGUCUGGUCUUCUUAAAUAUCCCGAGUUUCGGGGCUGCUGGCAGAAGCGUCGGUGCACAUCCUGGUACCAGAAUGACAAGGGGGACGGACAGCAGCUGUUAGCCGUGGGAAUCAGGGAGAAGAAAAAGAACCACAGCCACCAUCGCAGCUGAGAUUUAUUGAGCACAUACUACGCACCAGGCAAUGUGAUUCUAAGCUCUUCGGCGGAUUAGCUCUUCGGCGGAUUUAGUGCCCUAGGAGACAGGCGCUGGUGUUGUGUCCAUUUUACAGCUGAGGAAACUGAGGCCGAAAGAUUUCACAACUUGUCCGAGGGCACCCCGGUCGUAAGCGGCAGGGCGAGGACUUUACCCCCAGACAGUCGCGUCGCCACGGGGCUGGGGAAAUGAGACCUGUCUGAGCAUUUGGCCCCACCACCGUCAUCCCCAGGAGGAAGUCCUUCCAAUGGCAGUGUGGGAAGGGCCGACUUCUGUUGUGUUCAUGCAAAUGGUUUGCCUUUCAGAGCUUUGCUGUCUCUCUCUCUCUCUUUUUCAUUAUUGAAGUAUAAUUUAGAUACUAAAUUAUUGAAGUAUAAUUUAGUAACUGUUAACACACCGACACACAGGCAUCACAAACGCUGCAAUAAAAAUACGGAA
rnacentral:lncRNA from 1 species